rnacentral:rRNA from 1 species
GGGAAGCAGCAGUAGGGAAUCUUCCACAAUGGGCGAAAGCCUGAUGGAGUGAUGCCAUGUGAAUGAUGAAGGUCUUUUUGAUUGUAAAGUUCUUUUAUUGGGGAAAAUGAUGAUGGUACCCAGUGAAUAAGUGACAGCAAACUAUGUGCCAGCAGCUGCGGUAAUACAUAGGUCGCGAGCGUUAUUCGGAUUUAUUGGGCGUAAAGCGAGCGCAGGCGGAUUGGUAAGUUCUGUGUUAAAUGCAGCCGCUCAACGGUUGUAUGCGCAGAAUACUGCUUUUCUAGAAUACGGUAGAAAGUUUUGGAAUUGAAUGUGGAGCGGUGGAAUGUGUAGAUAUAUUCAAGAACACCAGAGGCGAAGGCGAAAACUUAGGCCGAUAUUGACGCUUAGGCUCGAAAGUGUGGGGAGCAAAUGGGAUUAGAUACCCCAGUAGUCCACACCGUAAACGAUGGAUAUUAGAUGUUGGGACUUGAGUCUCAGCGUUGUAGCUUACGUGUUAAAUAUCCCGCCUGAGUAGUACAUAUGCAAAUAUGAAACUCAAAGGAAUUGACGGGGACCUGAACAAGUGGUGGAACAUGUUGCUUAAUUCGACAAUACACGAAAAACCUUACCAAGAUUUGACAUCCCCUGCAAAGCUUUAGAAAUAAAGUGGAGGUUAUCAGGGUGACAGGUGGUGCAUGGCUGUCGUCAGCUCGUGUCAUGAGAUGUCUGGUUAAGUCCUGAAACGAGCGCAACCCUACUCUUUAGUUAACUUUCUAAAGAGACUGAACAGUAAUGUAUAGGAAGGAUGGGAUCACGUCAAGUCAUCAUGCCCCUUAUAUCUUGGGCCGCAAACGUGUUACAAUGGUGGGUACAACGUGUCGCAAGCCAGCGAUGGCAAGCUAAUCACUAAAAGCUCAUCUCAGUCCGGAUAAAAGGCUGCAAUUCGCCUUUUUGAAGUUGGAAUCACUAGUAAUCCCGUGUCAGCUAUAUCGGGGUGAAUACGUUCCCAGGUCUUGUACACACCGCCCGUCAAACUAUGAGAGGGAGAGGCAUUCGAAAACGUAUUCAUUUGCGUCUAGAAUGAAUUUCCUGAUUGGAGUUAAG